CAGGACGAACGCUGGCGGCGUGCCUAACACAUGCAAGUCGAGCGAGGAGAUCCUUCGGGAUGAUCCUAGCGGCGGACGGGUGAGUAACACGUGGGCAACCUGCCUCAUAGAGAGGAAUAGCCUUCCGAAAGGGAGAUUAAUACCUCAUAACAUUGCAGUUUCGCAUGGAACAGCAAUUAAAGGAGUAAUCCGCUAUGAGAUGGGGCCCCGCGGCGCAUUAGCUAGUUGGUGAGGUAAUGGCUCACCAAGGCGACGAUGCGUAGCCGACCUGAGAGGGUGAUCAGCCACAUUGGGACUGAGACACGGCCCAGACUCCUACGGGAGGCAGCAGUGGGGAAUAUUGCACAAUGGGGGAAACCCUGAUGCCAGCAACGCCGCGUGAGUGAUGACGGCCUUCGGGUUGUAAAGCUCUGUCUUCAGGGACGAUAAUGACGGUACCUGAGGAGGAAGCCACGGCUAACUACGUGCCAGCCGCCGC
rnacentral:rRNA from 1 species